ACCUGGUUGGCUCAGUCAGUAGAGCAUGUGACUCUUGAUCACACAGUUGUGAGUUCAAGCCCCACAUUAAGCA
rnacentral:tRNA from 1 species